rnacentral:lncRNA from 1 species
AUGAUGGGUUAAAAGACAGUUUAAAAAUCACCUCCCAUUUUGAGCUUUGAAUCUGAGCUGAGAAGGAUAGUAAAAGCAAUAUAAAGAAAAGGAAAUCAACUUCAAAACCGGCCCCCCGCUUUUCCCUGUGAGAAGGCCACUACAAAUUGUGGAGAUGCUUCUCAAAUGCAAUUAGAUUCUGCCGCUGCCUGCCGCGUCUCUCCACAUUGCAUCACUGUUCUCGAAAUCGCUGAAGCCUCUCUUGGGACACUAGAUAAUCUGAAGAAAGAAUAGAGUGUUCAGGCAACACAAGUUCUACAGAGAACUAAGGCACACCGAUUUGCAUUUCUGGGUCAGCAUGAUUUCACUUUCAUUUAACCCUUGUACUGACCCUUGUUUUCCAACGCGUUGGCUCUUUCUGCCGUCUGAGACUGUGUGAUGUGCUGAAGCCAAGAAGAGAUAAAUGGUACGAGGCUGAUAUGGGAGCAUCCAUCACUGACUACCAGGUUGCUACUCCCAGCUCCUGUCUUCACAUCUGCAUACCAACCAGUAAGAAGAGGAGAAGGAGCAAGGAGAGCACAUAACUUUCCUUUUAAGGACACAACUAGAUGCCAUGUUGUGAGCUGCUCUGUGGAGGGGGACCUGUGGCGAGGAACUGAGGGCAGCCAGCAGGCAACAGCCAGCUGCCAUGUUGUGAGUAGCCCUAUGGAGGGGCCCACAUGGCAAGGAACUGACAUCUUUGGUCAACAGUCAGUGAGGACUUAAGGCUGCCAAUAGCCACAUGAGGGAGCUUGGAAGCAGAUCUUCCCCCAGUGGAGCCUUGAGAUGACUGCAGUCUGGCUGACACCUUGAUUGUUGCCUUCUGGGAGACCUUGAGGUGGGGGACCCAGCUAAGCUGCCCAGCUUCCUGACCGGCAGAAACUGGGAGACAAUAAAUGUUGGUGUUUUAAGCCACUACAUUUUGGGAUAAUUUGUUACACAGCAAUAGAUAACUAGUACAGAAGUGCUAAAGAUCAAACACCCCUCUCCCUCUCUCUCCACGGUCUCCCUCUGAUGCCGAGCCGAGGCUGGACUGUACUGCUGCCAUCUCGG